GUCACACAGGAACUUCAGUUGUGAACAUUGCAGAGAACACACCCAUCAGAAGAUGUCCCUCAGAAAUAGAACAAUUAAUGAAUAAAAUGGACAGAGGCAGAACUGAAGGAGAUGCAUGAAAUGAGGAAUAUUUCAAAGAUUGCCUGAGCAUAACCACUGCUACUGGAUAAACAUAUGGCAAUAUAAAAGAGCAGGGUCGAUGGAGGCAUCAUACAGUAUAGGCCAUGAGAGACCCUGAGAAGAAAGUAUUGAACAGAAACAAAAAUAAAACCAAUUUUGACAUUUAUUGAAAUAUAGGAUCAAAGUCUUACAUGUAAAAUUUGGGCGUGUAAUGACUUUUCUCUAGCUCUAAGACUUAUAACAGUGAUGAUUUGAUUUAAUAUCUUUAUCCCGAUUUGUCGAAAAGAUUUGGACAUAGUGCAUCAAUUAUUUUAAAGUUUUGAUACAACGAAUUCAUUCAUUGUACUUGUAACUGAGUUUUCUGGUGCGACACUGUUUUAUCGGCUUCAAAACUAAGUUUGUGAUUUCCAAACCAGAUUAAUGAGAUCAUGUAAUAUCUUUUAACAUCGGUGACUAUUUAAUCCAUUCUUUUACAUCUCAGAAGUAUUUUUAUUAUUACAGGGAAAAUAUGCAUUGUACAUGUAUCUGUAAUAAACAGGAUUAUAGAAAUUUUCCAUAUAAUACAACACAAUCUUAGCAACUGAAGGCAAAUAUGUUAUCAAGGGUGUGAUCUAUUUAUCAAUCUGGUUUUCAGCAUCUUGCUCUACCUGUAAUGACUUGCUCCAAGUUCCAAUAUUUAAAUUUUGCAAACAUGGUUAUAAAAUUCUUUAAAAGCCAAAUAGUUUAGGCACAAAAUGCUUAUAUAUUUCCUAUCAUUUGUAAAGUGUACACUGAAUGAGAUGUGGAAUGUUAGAAUUAAAGUAUUAAAUAUG